AAACCAUGGUGUGGACACCUCCUUAAUAGUUCCUUGUAUCUUUCCCAAGCUUCAUAUAGUGAUUCUAUCUCUUCCUGUAGAAACGAUGCAAUAUCAUUUCUCAUCUU